rnacentral:rRNA from 1 species
GGCCCAGCGGGCCCUUUUUGGAAGAGUUUGAUCCUGGCUCAGAUUGAACGCUGGCGGCAGGCCUAACACAUGCAAGUCGAACGGUAGCACAGAGAGCUUGCUCUCGGGUGACGAGUGGCGGACGGGUGAGUAAUGUCUGGGAAACUGCCUGAUGGAGGGGGAUAACUACUGGAAACGGUAGCUAAUACCGCAUAAUGUCGCAAGACCAAAGAGGGGGACCUUCGGGCCUCUUGCCAUCAGAUGUGCCCAGAUGGGAUUAGCUAGUAGGUGGGGUAAUGGCUCACCUAGGCGACGAUCCCUAGCUGGUCUGAGAGGAUGACCAGCCACACUGGAACUGAGACACGGUCCAGACUCCUACGGGAGGCAGCAGUGGGGAAUAUUGCACAAUGGGCGCAAGCCUGAUGCAGCCAUGCCGCGUGUAUGAAGAAGGCCUUCGGGUUGUAAAGUACUUUCAGCGGGG